rnacentral:rRNA from 1 species
CGGCACAGCGAUAGCAUGUUGAGUACGCCAGUUUUUAAUGGAUCACCGAAGUUAAGUAAUGUUGCACGUGGUUUGUAUCCGUAUGGGUGACCAUCUAAGCAAUCGCAUGCUGCUGGCUUU